rnacentral:pre_miRNA from 1 species
AGUGGGAUAGCUGGGUCAAAUGGCAGUUCCAUUCCAAGUUUUCUAAGAAAUCUCCACACUGCUUUCCAUGUUGGCUGCAACAAUUUGGAAUCCCACCAGCAAU